rnacentral:rRNA from 1 species
GAUGAACGCUGGCGGCGUGCCUAAUACAUGCAAGUCGAGCGAACGGACGAGAAGCUUGCUUCUCUGAUGUUAGCGGCGGACGGGUGAGUAACACGUGUAUAACCUACCUAUAAGACUGGGAUAACUUCGGGAAACCGUAGCUAAUACCGGAUAAUAUUUUGAACCGCAUGGUUCAAAAGUGAAAGACGGUCUUGCUGUCACUUAUAGAUGGAUCCGCGCUGCAUUAGCUAGUUGGUAAGGUAACGGCUUACCAAGGCAACGAUGCAUAGCCGACCUGAGAGGGUGAUCGGCCACACUGGAACUGAGACACGGUCCAGACUCCUACGGGAGGCAGCAGUAGGGAAUCUUCCGCAAUGGGCGGAAGCCUGACGGAGCAACGCCGCGUGAGUGAUGAAGGUCUUCGGAUCGUAAAACUCUGUUAUUAGGGAAGAACAUAUGUGUAAGUAAAUGUGCACAUCUUGACGGUACCUAAUCAGAAAGCCACGGCUAACUACGUG